rnacentral:snRNA from 1 species
UGCUCACUUCGGCAGCACAUAUACUAAAA